AUUGAACGCUGGCGGCAGGCUUAACACAUGCAAGUCGAGCGGAGCGAGGGUGCUUGCACCUUAGCUUAGCGGCGGACGGGUGAGUAAUGCUUAGGAAUCUGCCUAUUAGUGGGGGACAACAUUCCGAAAGGAAUGCUAAUACCGCAUACGCCCUACGGGGGAAAGCAGGGGAUCUUCGGACCUUGCGCUACUAGAUGAGCCUAAGUCGGAUUAGCUAGUUGGUGGGGUAAAGGCCUACCAAGGCGACGAUCUGUAGCGGGUCUGAGAGGAUGGUCAGCCAAACUGGGACUGAGAAACGGCCCAGACUCCUACGGGAGGCGGCAGUGGGGAAUAUUGGACAAUGGGCGGAAGCCUGAUCCAGCCAUGCCGCGUGUGUGAAGAAGGCCUUUUGGUUGUAAAGCACUUUAAGCGAGGAGGAGGCUCUUAAGGUUAAUACCCUUGAUGAGUGGACGUUACUCGCAGAAUAAGCACCGGCUAACUCUGUGCCAGCCGCCGCCGUAAGAC
rnacentral:rRNA from 1 species